UACGGGGGGAGCAAGCGUUGUUCGGAUUUACUGGGCGUAAAGGGCGCGUAGGCGGUCAGCACAAGUCAGUUGUGAAAUCUCCGGGCUUAACCCGGAAAGGUCAACUGAUACUGUGCGACUAGAGUGCGGAAGGGGCAACUGGAAUUCUCGGUGUAGCGGUGAAAUGCGUAGAUAUCGAGAGGAACACCUGCGGCGAAGGCGGCAUCCUGGACCGGUAUUGACGCUGAGGCGCGAAAGCGUGGGGAGCAAACAGG
rnacentral:rRNA from 1 species